rnacentral:sRNA from 1 species
AAAAAAAAGAGAAAAAAAAUCUGAAGAU